rnacentral:rRNA from 1 species
UACGGGGGGGGCAAGCGUUGUUCGGAAUUACUGGGCGUAAAGGGCUCGUAGGCGGCCAACUAAGUCAGACGUGAAAUCCCUCGGCUUAACCGGGGAACUGCGUCUGAUACUGGAUGGCUUGAAUUCGGGAGAGGGAUGCGGAAUUCCAGGUGUAGCGGUGAAAUGCGUAGAUAUCUGGAGGAACACCGGUGGCGAAGGCGGCAUCCUGGACCGACAUUGACGCUGAGGAGCGAAAGCCAAAGGAGCAAACGGG